rnacentral:tRNA from 1 species
GCCGGGAUGACAGAGUCUGGCCUAUCGUGCUACCCUGGAAAGGUAGUGGGCUUAACUGCCCUCCUGGGUUCAAAUCCCAGUCCCGGCG